GGAAGUGCCAUAGCUCACUGGUAGAGCAUCUGCUUUGCAUGCAGAAGGUUGCAGGUUCAAUCCUUGACAGCCCUCCA